rnacentral:rRNA from 1 species
GACGAACGCUGGCGGCGUGCUUAACACAUGCAAGUCGAACGGAAAGGCCCUGCUUUUGUGGAGUGCUCGAGUGGCGAACGGGUGAGUAACACGUGAGUAACCUGCCCUUUACUUUGGGAUAACUUCAGGAAACUGGGGCUAAUACCGGAUAGGAGCUCCUGCUGCAUGGUGGGGGUUGGAAAGUUUCGGCGGUUGGGGAUGGACUCGCGGCUUAUCAGCUUGUUGGUGGGGUAGUGGCUUACCAAGGCUUUGACGGGUAGCCGGCCUGAGAGGGUGACCGGCCACAUUGGGACUGAGAUACGGCCCAGACUCCUACGGGAGGCAGCAGUGGGGAAUAUUGCACAAUGGGCGGAAGCCUGAUGCAGCAACGCCGCGUGCGGGAUGACGGCCUUCGGGUUGUAAACCGCUUUCGCCUGUGACGAAGCGUGAGUGACGGUAAUGGGUAAAGAAGCACCGGCUAACUACGUG